GACGUAGGAGGCGAGCGUUGUCCGGAGUUACUGGGCGUAAAGGGCGCGUAGGUGGCCUGGUAAGUCUGUGGUGAAAGCCCGGAGCUCAACUCCGGGUCUGCCGCGGAUACUGCGAGGCUUGAGUGCUGUAGAGGGGGGGGUAGAAUGCCGGGUGUAGCGGUGGAAUGCGCAGAUAUCGGGAGGAACACCGGUGGCGAAGGCGGUUCUCUGGGCCUGUACUGACGCUGAGGAGCGAAAGCGUGGGGAGCGAACAGG
rnacentral:rRNA from 1 species